AUUGUAAGUGUGUUGGAAUACCAGAGUCGGAGACAAGAUGGAACUUUAACCCAACAGGUGUGUUUAUUAACAGUUUUGUUGCAAUGGAUAAUGGAAGGUGAGUUUAAAUUAACAAACAUACUUAGUUAAAUCAGUCUCGAUACUCAUGAAUGUUUUCCUUGUAUUAAUCAGAGAAGGAAAGCACACACUGAACAGAUGAGAUGAUGGAGGUUGCCAGGAGCUGGGGAUAGAUGAGUAUAGAGGGUUUGGAGUAUGGAGAUCAGAGGAGACGCUGGAGAACACGAGGUAGACAAAGGAGAUCUUGGAUGGAGAUUCCCUGCAGAAGCAUCAGCAGAAAAAAUCUCCAGCAGCAGGACAUCAACAUGAAUGUGAUAUCUGAAUCCUUCUGAAGCCUUCAGCUCCUGCAAGAUAAAUAUGAUUUUUUUUCAAUAUCUUUAUUAAGCUCUCAGCAUAGACAUUAACAGAGAUUUGCACUUACAGAAACAUAAGUCAUAUGCAAAAAAAUUAAGCAUAAAUCAAGCAUAAAGCAUAUUUAUUUAUCAUUAAAUAUUUAUAUAAAUAUUAAAUCAACUAAAUUACUUACAUAUUACACCAUAUAAAUACAUACACACCAUGUACUGUAUGAGUAAUUAAAUAUAAAUUUGAACAAUACAGUUAAGUUAAUAUUAAAUAAUAUAACUAUGAGAAUAUAUAUUAAUUUUAAUGCUGGAAGCUUUUACAGGCAUCUAGAAACAGUUAUUAUUUCAAACAAGCAUUUAGAAAAAAGUAAAAAAAUAAAUAAAUAAAAAUAAAAACA
ensembl:lncRNA